rnacentral:tRNA from 1 species
GCGGGAAUAGCUCAGUUGGUAGAGCACGACCUUGCCAAGGUCGGGGUCGCGAGUUCGAGUCUCGUUUCCAUAA